CAAUACAUAUAGCAUUCAACAUGACAAUAAUAAUGUAGUAAUAAUGUAGCAACGAAGGUAUACACUUAGUCUAAAAUGAAAUUUUAUAAAAUAUAUAUGUGCUUCGGUAGAAGAGACACCUUUGAUCAAUCUAAGCCACUAUUGGACCCUGCAUAUGAACCCUCGUAAUAUACCCCACAUCAAAAGUAGCUGAAUGCCCAUUUGACUGCCAUAGAGCUAAAAGGGUCCAAAAUAGUAUUUACAAGGAAAAACUCAAGUAAGCUUCCACAAUAUUUCCGAUUAUACAAAAAUUUGAACUACCAUAGAGCUAAGUAAAAUCUCAUGCAAGGAGAUUCAUGUGAUAUACUGAAGAUAUAUAUGAUCCACUAUUCUCUAUCUAAUAUUAUAUGCAGGAAGAAAAGGAAUUAAAUACCCUCUCCUUAUUAUUGAGGGAAACAUCAUCCAUCACAUGUAUAUCCAUUGUGCUAGGCUCUUAGCAUCACACCAGUGCAGGACUUGAAAAAGAUUGCCUCAAUGCCUCUUGUGCUCAUGCCGUGAGGCCAGCCUGCACAACUUUGCUAACCUGUAUCAAUUUGAAGAUGUAAAACAGAGAAUUAGGUAAAGGAUUGUUCAACUAUGUAUCACAGUGUGAGUUGUGACUAACUAUAUGGGAAAAGCAAGUGACUGAACUCAGGUAUGAAUUCAUGCAGGAAAAGUGUAUGAAGAACCAAAAUCAUAUUCUGCCAUUUGAUUAGUCAUCCUGCAAUAAAAGACAUUGUCUUCUAAGUACAAGUACUUGACUAUAUCUGUCCUAAAGCAUCAUUCUAUCUAUUUAUCUAAGCAAUCUAGAAGUUAAAAUACAUGACCUAGAUAAGUUCAUAUAAGCUAGUGUUGCAAUGUUGUUUACUUAUGUCAUAGUGGGUUUUCUUAGCACAUCAUCGCCUAGCCAGCUCAACAAACUAACAUGUGCCAUAUCACCCUUUUGAUAAAGUUACUUCCCCCUCACAGCCAAUUCUGUAGUCCUUAGCAGGAAGGAGAUGGUUCAUAUCGAGCUCCCACAGUUGGCUACAUGCAUUCGAUAAGCUAUUUAUCUCCUAGUAGGCCAAUGAGUCCUUGGUUAAUGUGACUGACAUCCUCAUGGCUUUUGUUCUGAUGGUGGCUCUUUCUGUAUCCAAUUAUCCCUUCCAUGCUUUAUACUGCAUGGUGCAAUAGCCAGGAUUUAGAGUUCAGAUAGAACAAGGAAGCUUCAGAAUAUGCAAUUAUCGUUAUUAGAUGUUCCCCAUGCAACUUGAGUGUCAGUUUAUUUAUGCAGGCAAUCUUACAAGAAACAAAUGGGAUCUCUAGCCAUGUAGUUACAGACCACAUUAUGUAACAGUCAGAUGAUUCUUUUUUUCAGUGUACCUCGACAAAGCAUUGGUACCUGUAAAUGUUGGCUGACAUUUAUAUAGAGAAAGAACCUAAGAAAACUAAAGUAAGAGCUUAAACACAUUCCCAGCUGUUUAUUAUGAAGAAAAAAAUAAAGAAAAAGAAAUGGCAUUUCUGAUUUUUAGAAAACUGAAAUCAAACAGUAGUUAUGCAGUUGCUUCAUUAAAUGUUGCUUCUGAUCAGGCUCAUCAUCUUGACUACAUGAAUAAAUUCUGCUACUCCUUCAAGCACAAAUACUAUUGCCAUGAUCAUGGUAGCUCACAAAUAACCGCUAGGACAAAUAGCUCACAAAUAACUGCUAGCACAAAUACUCUACAGGCCUCCCCUUCCCUACACAGCCUCAGUAGGUAACCAAAUCAAAAGGAACUAUUUCUAGUUGCAACAAAUAGAAUUUAGUGGCAGUCCAAUUGACUUCUGAUGGGGGA
rnacentral:lncRNA from 1 species